GAAUAGAUACUCAGUUGGGAGAGCGUUUGACUGAAGAUCUAAAUGUUCCCUGUUCAAACCUGGGUCUGGGCU